rnacentral:tRNA from 1 species
GCAAGAGUAGUCAAGCCUGGCCAACGACGCUAGAUUCAGGGUCUAGUCCUUAGCGGUCCAUGGGUUCAAAUCCCACCUCUUGCACCA